rnacentral:lncRNA from 1 species
AAGCAAUCCACAUAGAGCAGGUUCUGAGGCAGCUGCGGAGAAGGCAGGCUGGGAGUCCUCUGUAUCCAGGCCAUGGGUCAGGCGUUAGGAAAUGUCUGAAGGGCAGGGAGACCUGAGGAUGGUCCUGGGAUGGGUGACUUCUCUUCGCCCAUCCGACAUGCACUGCUUACUGAAAAAGGUCCAAGGCUGUCUGGCACAGGCCCCCCAUCAUUUUCUCAAGCUGCAACAAAUGUCUCCAAAACCUGGACAGGCAGACAUCUAGGCAGGGCCUAUUGGUCUGGACAUCUCAGAACCUCCCCAAAUUCUGCUUUCUUCAUCGCCAUCAGGUUUCCGUAGCAACCAGAGGACUUCACAGGAGAGAGUGAAGGGGAAUUAAGAGCCAGAGAGAGCAGAGGAGAGAGGAGGAGUCCGGAAGAUGCCUGGCUUGGGACCCGAGAGUGGCAGAAUAGCAAAGCCUGCAGCAGCCACAGCACUGUGGUCCUGAGACCCAGGCCAACUUCCUAGAGGACUGGUCGGUGACUUCAGAGGGUAGGGGUGGCCUGGGCCAACACCCAAUUCCAGCUGUCCCUCUGCCCCCAUACAUGCAGCCCCCCGAAAACCCAGAUUCCAAAACCACCUUCUUGGACUCUUCCCUGUUUCUAGCUUCUGACAUUCAAUCAUCUCAAUAUGACAAAUAUCACCAAGUCCUGCAGAAUAUUUCUUCACAAAGAACUGCCCCCUGUCCCAUCAUAAAGACACCUGGGCCACCCCAUGCUCUUCCAACCCAUCUCCCUGCCCAGUCUCUCCCUGGGCUUUUUCUAUACCCUCCCCCUCCCGCCCUCUGCAAGGAGCCCUUGGUAAUGAAGAGCAAAC